UACGGGGGGGGCAAGCGUUGUUCGGAAUUACUGGGCGUAAAGGGCUCGUAGGUGGCCAACUAAGUCGGACGUGAAAUCCCUCGGCUUAACCGGGGAACUGCGUCUGAUACUGGAUGGCUUGAGUUCGGGAGAGGGAUGCGGAAUUCCAGGUGUAGCGGUGAAAUGCGUAGAUAUCUGGAGGAACACCGGUGGCGAAGGCGGGUCUCUGGACAGUUCCUGACGCUGAAGCACGAAGGCCAGGGGAGCAAACGGG
rnacentral:rRNA from 1 species